rnacentral:lncRNA from 1 species
GCCAACGGAUAUUUAUGACUGCAGGAGGAGAAGCACAUCAUAACAGGAGUUCUAUAGAUCCUUCAAUUGGCUCCCAGCCUCCAUAUGCCAUAUCUCCUGGCCUCCUGGCUUCUGUGACUUCUGUGCCACCAUGCUGACUGACCCAGGCAUGUGAUUUUGUGAUUCCUAUGUUCACCCACUAUGGAAUCAGCAGGAGUGAAUGGGGACAUUCAGUGAGCUGCGAGUUCAGAUCCUCAAAGGUGAAAAGAAGAAUGACAGUGGUAAGAAGAAUGAAACAGAUACUGCAGUAUCAAGAGGGAGGAUCAAAGAAGCUGAUGGCAAUCAAGGGCUAUUUUAUUGAGGGUUCAACAAGAUGGACCUAAUUUGUGCCAUAUUCAGAGUCAUCCUUGACUGGGUUCAUUGUGGGGUAGGACUGUCUCUCUACAGUCUAUAUCUGUGUUGGUGAACACAUGACAUGUGUGUUGGAAGGGCUGUUCUCUUCUCCCUCUCCAUGUGUGCCUGAGGACU